rnacentral:rRNA from 1 species
GUCUACGGCCAUGCCACCCUGAACAAGCCUGAUCCCGUCUGAUCUCAGAAGCUAAGCAGGGUCGGGCUUGGUUAGUAUUUGGAUGGGAGACCACUUAGGAAGACUAGGUGCUGCAAGCA